rnacentral:lncRNA from 1 species
UGAAUACUUGCACACACCUCUGUGUGCUAUGCAAUGGAGACUGCCUUGAGUGCUUUCUGGAUGUGUGCUGUCUCCCAACAUUGAAGGAGCUUUCUGAAGUGCAGAGUUACUGUCAGGAGUAAUGAGAUGUGGCCAAAGAAAUUCAGGAUGAAGACAGAGAUGGGGUUGAGCCCUCCAUGUUCACUAGAUGUAGGAAUUUGGUUGAUGCCCUGCCCAGGACACUAUGUUGGAUUAUUUCUUCAGUCAUGGAAAGGAAGAUGGUACCAUCUACUGAAGAGUGUUUUGGAUUGCUGCUGUUAUACUGUAAAUGGACUCACCAUAUAUCCGUGUCUGACCUAUGAUUCCAUCACUUGUCCUUGCCUUGCCUCUGGGCUCUGGCCUCUGGGCUUUCACCAGCAGACACUCUCCUUGAGGAAGAGCCUUUGAAGCCACUAAUACCAACCCAGAAUAUUCGAACACUACCUAAGCAGUAAGCAGUAACUUUCUAAGUAUGGAACAGGAGAUGUGAAGAAAUUGGGAAACAAGGACUCUUGAUAAACCAAAUUGCCCUGAGGAUGAAGAAGAAAAUGAACAUGCAUACUCAGAAGAAAGAUGAAAGUCGCUUCAAUGUGCUUUUUAUGUUAUGAUGAAAAGGCUGUCACUAUUAAAUUAUAGUAUUAAUUUUAAACAUUUGAAUAACAAACUUGAAAAGAACUGUAGUAAUGCUGGUCUAUUAUCAUCAUAAGCUUUUUGAUGUGUGUUUUCUAGUUUCUUCUAUGUGUGUUCUUUUCUAUAAUGGCAGCUGUAUGCACAAUUUCAUGCAGCUAUUUUUCUAAUGAAAAUAAUAAUAAUAGCUUAAGCAUUUUCUCAGUUAUUAGAUGUUUUCCAUAAAGGUGAUCUCUAUUGAUUCCCUGUAUCUUCUGACAGGAUAUGUAGUAAUUUUUAAUCCUUUCUAUGCUAUUGAACAUUUAGAUUGUUGCUGUGAAUAGCAUAAAAUUUUUAUCCUAUCUUUGACAUUUCUUGGACUGGAAUAUCUUUUAUUGAUUUUAAGUUUAUUUUUGAGAUUAUAAUACAAUUUCCACAUUUCUCCCUGCCCUUUCCUCUAUCCAAAUCUUCCUAUAUAUGCCUUUAUGCUCUUCUGCAAAUUCGUGGCCUCUUUUUUCAAUAAUUAUUGUUACAUGAAUAUAUGUAUAUAAUAUAUAUUCCUAAAUAUAAUCUUCUCAGUCCAUAUAAUGUUACUGGUAUGUAUGUUUUCAAGACUGACCAUGAGACACUGGACAACUAAUUGCUUUUUCUAAAAAUUAGUUAAUAUCACCAACAAUAUCUAUGAACUUCCUAAAUUUAAAUGAUUGUUGCAUUCCUCAUAUGUUCCUGGUUGUGAUGUAUACUGAACUCCAUUUGCCAUUAUUUUCUUUGGAAUUUUAUGUUUGUAUUCAUAAAUAUGAGUGAUUUAGGCAGGCACAGCACUGGCCUGUUCUCAGGAAAGUUCACAUCACCUCUAUCAGAUGAGCUUGAUUUUAGAACUUCUACUUCCUCCUUCAAUGGAUAUAAUACAAAGGUGUGAUUAAAUAUUGAAUUCUGAGAGCGAAUCUGCAUACAUCUUUAUGGUUGGGAAGGUAAUUUGAAUGACUUAUUGUCUGGAACAGAGUAAUUGUAAAUUCAUAUAGACACACAUGAGCUCAAGACUCAACAUUUUUCUUCCUUAAUAUAGUUUAAAAAUAGUGAGCCUUCUAAAGUUGAUAGGAGAGGCUUAUUCAUGGCAUAUGCAUGUUAAUGUAUAGGCUGAUCAUUGUAGUAUGAUGUCACCUGGUGGACCCUGAUCCUUGAGCUGAUGACUGCUUUCUGAAGAAUCCUUACUACCCUGCCAAUAUGGACAGAAUCCAUCCUUUUAAGCAAUUCUUAUGUGCAGGCUUUGAUUAAGAAACGAUACAUAGUGAAAAGAGUAUACAUAGACUUCUAAUUCCAAGUUCUGUUGUUUAUUUGUUGAUAUCAUGAAAAUUCUCAAAGCUUUCUGGAUGCCAUUUUUUAUCAUCUGUAUUAAAAGCUCAAUACAUAUCUAUUACAGGGUUAUAAAUUGUCUGUCUUGUAGUAAGUGAUCAGUAAAUGGUAACCAUUAUCCUAUGGUGCUUUUCUGACACUGAGAUGCUGGCCUGAAUGCAUUGCUUCAGUGUUUGAGAUGCUUCUUGAAAUAAAGAUAAACAGUGUGUCA